GCCACAGUGUCGCUCUCUGUCCCUGGGUCCUCCUGUAAUGGUGCCUGCGGUCCGGGCGGGGGUGGGGGGCUGGGCGUCGCUCUCAGAUCCGCUGACCUGGGCUGGCAGCUGUCCCCGGCGCUUCUCAAUGUUUUCUUGCUGUCGGUGCGUGGGGAGAAAGCUUCCUUCUCAUCCUGCAGGUUUCUGGAUUUGUGAAUUCCCUACUCCCUUUCGUCCCCGCUCACAAACCAGAUCGUGUUCUGAGCCCCUCUUCUCCUUACGGUAUCUUUCCAACGGAAUCUAACAGCAAGCAGCACAAAGUGCUAAAAUCCAGUUUCCGGCACCUCCCUGGAGCGGCCCCUGCAGCGCCGCGUCCUGAGGCGCAAGACCCGCCCCCCUGGGACUCCCGGGCGCCGGCGGUUACCCAACGAGCCACCGCUGCCCACCAAGGGGGACCGUCUUCCCGCCUCUGGUCGCAGUCCUCCCGCGGCCCUCCCGUGAUGCAGGUUACACGCCACCGGGACCGUCGGGCUCUGCGUCAUGUCCGGGCCAGACUCACGGAGCAGCCAGCCCCUCGGACGCCGCCAGCCGCCACGGCAGAAGGGAAAGAGGUGUGGAGGGCCGCGCUUGGGCGGUGAGAUGCCCCAGCCCCAGAGGGACGCGUGUCCCCUCCGCCCACGGAGCGCUGUCGGAACGAGUGGGGGGCCGGCGACGCAGGGGGCACCGGUUGGAAACACUUGGCGGAAAGCACCGAUGGCGGCUGUCGAGGACCAAAGAGACGAAGGGCUGGCCGGGAACCCAAGGAGCAGGUCCUGGGCUUUUGUCCCGGCUGGAUCUGGGAGCCCUAGAAGUGCCACAUCUUCCCCGCGGCUGCAUUUGCGAGUGACCUGUGGAGGAGACUGGGAUCCGUCCUGGAGGGCGUCAUUAACACCGGGUCGAUUUGUCACCGAAUUGAAAGCCCCUCCGGAAGUUCCUGGACCUGAUCAAAGCCUACCCCCCGGGCUCCUCUGAGUCAUUGGCACUUGGAUGGUUUUCUUGCAUUUCAUACAAUUUGGAGGCAUUGAUUUGAUUUAUCAUUUCCCCCUACUUGGUAUUCCAGAGACUUUGUUUUUCAUUUCAUGCUGCCACUUCUAAAAAUAAAGUUAGUGGUAAUUUGA